UGGGGAAUAUUGCACAAUGGGGGAAACCCUGAUGCAGCGACGCCGCGUGAGUGAAGAAGUAUUUCGGUAUGUAAAGCUCUAUCAGCAGGGAAGAAGAAAGACGGUACCUGACUAAGAAGCCCCGGCUAACUACGUGCCAGCAGCCGCGGUAAUACGUAGGGGGCAAGCGUUAUCCGGAUUUACUGGGUGUAAAGGGAGCGUAGACGGCUGUGCAAGUCUGAAGUGAAAGCCCAGGGCUCAACCCUGGGACUGCUUUGGAAACUGUGGAGCUAGAGUGCUGGAGAGGUAAGUGGAAUUCCUAGUGUAGCGGUGAAAUGCGUAGAUAUUAGGAGGAACACCAGUGGCGAAGGCGGCUUACUGGACAGUAACUGACGUUGAGGCUCGAAAGCGUGGGGAGCAAACAGG
rnacentral:rRNA from 1 species